UGCCAUAGAGGAAAGGAAAAAGAGUGACACUAAUUUCAAAUGGAAAUUGCUCUCUCAUAAAAGAAUUCAAGAGGAGGAAGAACAACAAGUAUAUUAAAACUAUAUCUACAUAGUUAUAUCUCUCUCUUGAGAUUUGAAACGUAGAGAUAUGGAAUGGAGGAAGUGCUACUUGGAUGUGAUAUUGGUGCCCUUGGGAUUUCUAACAAGCAUUGGGUACCAUUUCUGGCUAUGGCACAAGGUUCGAACUCAGCCACACACAACCAUCAUUGGCAUCAAUGCUAGUGGCCGUGGAAAUUGGGUUAAUGGCAUGAUGAAGUUUCAGGAAUGAUAUUCAUUUUAUCCUGAAAUCAAACUACAAAAUGACCACAAGCCUUUGGAUUAUGGACCGGGCCGGGUAUUUUAGUCAAAUCCAUUUCAAUCUCCGUGUAAACCCUGCCACUCCGUUUUUUCUCUUCUUCUCGUGCUUCGGCGGAAAUCGGCUUAGCUCUUCGACCGGUUAGUGCCACGGAACCAGUUUCACUUUCGGAUCUGUAAUCUAGGGUUUGAAUUCGAAGAGGAAAACACUAAUUUGUCUCUUCUUUUUGUUAAUUAGAACGAAUUUGUCCUUUUCUGCUUCAAUCUUCGUCCUUUUUCUUAAUAACGUUCUUGUUUUCAUUGUUUUUCUUUUUCCGAAAGAUAAGUUGUUUGGCCUGUUGGCUGAUUCUGAGACUUUUUUCUAUGGUAAAUUUGAAUUGGUGUUCCGUUUUUUUUUUUUAAAUUGUUUUGAGGUGUGGUGAGGGUGAAGGUUUUAUGUUUUAUCUGUAGGAUGAUUUGAAUCUUGUGAUUUGUGAAGCACGUAGUCAAUUGCUGAAUUCGAUGUGAUUCUGAGAAGUUCUUCUUGGAAGAUGUGGAUCUUCCUUGCUAAUUAGUUGUGUUUAGCUUGCAACGAUUUCAAUUUGUUGUUUAUCCUGUUAGUUUGGAAAUGUUUUAGGUGCAUUUUGAAUUUUCUCUUUAUUUUGUUAGUUUUCUGGUGAUACUGAUUUUGAGCAAGCUUGCUAAAUCUGGUUUUGUGGAAGAUUUUAGUCUGGCUUGUUUUUGGUGCUGUUACUCUACACAACCUUUUUUCAUCAGCUAUUUGGUAUUGUCAGGUUUUCCUUUUGGUUUUGGAGAUUUUUAUGUUUUCUCUUCUGUUUUGAGGAUACAUUUUGUCUUUUCUAUGCUUUUAUACUUUAUUGUCAAUAGUGUCUUAUUUCUAUUUUAGAAAAUUGACCUGAUUUGAAAACGUUGACUCCCAAAUAUCCUGGUAUUUAACAUGGAUUUGAGUCGUUGUUGUUGACACUAGGCAUUGCUAGUAGAGUUAUAAUUUUAUGGAGGUCAUUUUAGGGUAAAAUAGGAUUAACUAUGGUUGCACCACGUUAGCUCUUUGGAGUCAAGAUGGUUCAUCCAAUUCUGGAUCAGAGCUUCUUUCUUGACAAUACUCACAAGAUGAGACUUAAGGAGGAGUUUAAAAUUGAACCAUGGACUUUUGAGCAACAUGUUGGAGAAGCUGUCAUCAUUCCUUCUGGAUGUCCAUACCAGAUUAGGAAUCCUAAGAUCUCUGUUACAUUUGUAUUAAAGAUUUCUUACCCCAUUUUUCUCUUUUUGAGUCAAUUUAAAGAACAAAAACUUUAAACUAUUCUUAACCUGAUAUAAAUUAUAAAUUAUGAUUGGAUGACUGUUUAAAAUAUCAAUUUAAAGGUUUUUGUAAUUCAGUGGUUGCAUCUGGUGGAGGGCUAGUCCCGUUUUCAUGUAUGUUCCUUUAUCAAGAAGUUGCCAGAUUCCAAUUUGUUGUUAUUCCUUUUGAUGAUGUUCAGAUUUUUAUUUGAUCAUCACUGUAGCCUUUAAUAUGAUAGUUUAUUCAUUAAUACAUUGAGUUUUUUUCCUACAUGCUUACCUUUCAGUAAGUUAUUCUUUUUUAACUUAUUAUCAUUGAAUAUUUCUGCUAUUUUUUGCCUCAUAAAGGCAGGUCUUGUUUGAAUACAUUUCUUCAUAAGCAUUUAUAUGAGAAGAAAAUAAGAAAGGUAAAUUGAAUCGAGAUUCUGCCACAAAGUAAAAUGAACUUUUGCAGUUAACUGUUAUAGGAGCUUUCAUCUAACUUCUCUAAAAGCUGAGAUGCAUAAGUUGGUUUUUAACUUAUGGAAAAAACUUAAUUUAUUUUACUUUUUUAUUCUUUUUUUUGCUAGUGUUUAUGGGGAAGUUUAUUCAAAUGAGGCCUAACUUGUCUUCCAGCAUUUGACUUGUAUGAAAAUUCAAAUCACUCCCCUCACACACCCACCUCUCUCUCUGGUCCUUCUCAUACUUUGUGCUUAUUAAAAAGGGAAUCAUGAUGACAUUGCGUUAUUUGGUUGUUAUUCAAGAAGAAGCCUCUUUUAUUGAAUUCAUUGUUGUAUUCCUCGUGUUGACAUUGUACUAAAAUUGUGUUACUGCAGGGUAGUGCCAAUUCAAAGUGCUCUCGAUCACUGACUUGUAUCACUGAAUAUCUUCUUUCAAUUUAUUUAAGUUAUACUAAAAAAUAGUAGUAAUGUAUAAGAUCAUAGGGCAGAGUGAUUGGUGUGUUGGGUUGGAGUUAGCUGGAGUUGGGUUUCUUGUGUGGUGUGUUGGUGUUAUGGGUGAGGGAUGACGAAAGAUAAGGUGUCUCUCCGACUCCGGAUAAUGGGAAGAAGCUAAAGGACAAAAGCGAUUUUUGACGGUUUGCAUUAAUUCUACUUUCCUUCUUCUUCUUUUUUCCAUUAAAAAAUAGUCAAUGAUCCUGCUAAAGAAAAUAAAUAAAUAAACAGUCCAUAAUUAGUCAUUUUAGUUCCUUCGGCAUCUAUAAUAGAAGUUAAUUAAUGACCUCUUUUAAAAAAAUAUUAUUUUGAUGUAUCUUAUGUGAUUUUGAAUUCUUUAGAAUUAAAAAGAAUUAUUUAUAUAAACAAUUAUUAUUUAUAUGUUGUUUAACUUUUUGUAUUAAAUAUAUAUAAAAAAGAAAUAUAAUAUUUAAGUUAACAAAAGUUUCUCAUCCCAAAAAAAAGAAAUCAUUUGAUGUCUUGUUCAGGGAAAAUAGCUAUUUGUAUUGAUUGCUUUUGUAUUUUUUCUUUUGAAAUUAAUGUACAUUUUUAGUCUGACACUUCGACCACAGACUUCUCAAUGAUUUAUAAACUUUAUGGAACUUAAGUAUCACUUAAUCCCUAUCACUAAUUUCCCCUGUUCAUUAUUCUUUAUAGAAUUUUAUAGAUGGUCAGGUUUAUCAGCAGAGAACCUUUAGUUUCCAUUGCUGAUCUUACCCUUUUCAUUUAUAAAGAAUUGGCUGUAAAUGUCCAUUACAUGGAAUGCUUUGGUUCCUUUGCUCCCAUAAGAGGUUUGACUGAAGAUAGGAGCCAAGCCCAAUGGUUUGUAGAUGGACAGGCAACAUUUGAAGCAAUUGCUACUUCAAUUCAAGAUGCAAAGUUAGAGAUCUUCAUUACGGGUUGGUGGUUGUGCCCAGAGCUAUAUCUGAGACGGCCUUUUGAUAGCUUUUCUACCUCUCGGUUAGAUUCAUUACUAGAAGAAAAGGCUAACCAAGGGGUUCAAAUUUAAUUUCACAGGGUUCAAUUCUAGGUGUUGAGGUCAACGUUUCUAGAAAAUCAUAUUCUACUCAACUGGUUGUCAUGGAAGAUGAGAAUGGGAACCAAAAUUCCGCGCCACCUCAAAAUGAAGGGUUACUCAUCCCGAAUAUAUUUACUUUAACUAUACCGCAGGACUUGUCUCAUCCUUUCCUUGCCAAGGCAAUCAAGUAAUGUUAUUCAUUGUUCACCACCUCUCUCAUCCCCUCUUCCUUUGAGCCAAAGCAAAAGUAUGAAAAAUAAAAUGAGGUAUUUAAUUUGGGUACUAUAAAAAAGUAAUAACUUUCAUUUGCUCGAGUCACAUUUUUAAUUCUGAUAGCUGCUGAAGGAAGUACCUGUUUCUGUUUAAAUGUUUCAUUUGAGAAUACAUGCUACAGGACAUCCCUUCAUUGGUGCAUGAUGGUCAGUACUUGCAGUCUGAGUUAUUUCCUCGACCUCAAUUUGGAAUUACUCUUUCAAUUUAAUUGCUUAUUCUAAUGAUGUGCAGUUUAUAUACUUCCAUUGUUGAUAUAAUAUAAUAAUAGCCUCUGUAGUGUGAGUUAUUUAUAUAAGCACUUUAGCAGAGGAAAGAGCAAUAAGUUCACCAAAUCACUUGCUGUAAUUGAGUAUUGGAAUGAACGUAUCAAGUUAGCUGAAAAGUGAUUAUAAGAUAUAGUUUGUUUGAAUUGUCUAAAAAAAUUGUUUAUUUUUUUAAUAAAAAGAUUAGAAAAAUAGUAUCAAGUUACUUGUAAUAGUUGAUUUUGUAUUUAAAAUUUUACUUAUUAUAAAAAAAAUUGUUUCCCUCUUUAAAAUGAGUAAAUAGUGUAUGGUUAAAAGAAUUUUACUCUAUCAUCUAAUUACUAAUUACCAUACAUAUAUGAUAAGUUUAGUUACUUUAAAAGUAAUUACUUUAAAAGCCAUACUAUCUACAGUAUCUCUAAUUAAUUGAUAGUAGAAAGAUUUUUAUAUUUACAAUGUACAGAAAUUAAAUUAUGUUAAAAUUAUAUUAAAGAUUAUAAUCUAAAUUACUAAAGAUAUUUGAACAUUAAUUCUAUCAGUUCCUUUUCCAUAAAUCAAACUAAAGUGUUAGAAAAAAUAUUUAAUCCAAACAUGCUCUAGUAAGUUAUACUACAAGGCCACAAGUAACUUUUCUGUAGAUUCCAUUCCAAGUUUUCUGAGCUAAUCAUGUGUAUGUCUGGUCUACUUCAUCAUGUUUGAAAAGGACCGUGUCAAUGGAAUCUAGAAACAGAAAAAAAAACAAAAAAAAUGAGAGAAAAAUUUGCUGCUUGAAUUCAAGAGAGUGGCUGGUUUAGCUAGCUGAGAAAAGAUGAGGGUAGGCAACUUUUACCAAGAAACGGUGGAAUUGGAUGCCGCAAAGCUAGAAGUAGAAAAUUGGACACAAACCAAUGAUAGGAUGGGAAAAAAUGGACAAGAAUACGAAAAAGCUUUGAGAAUCACAUGACAUUGGAUUUUUUUCAUAUCAAAGGUACUUAGAUCAACUUGGAAUAGCUUCCUGCUACAGCACUAAAGUCUAUUGCAGGCAGACUUUAAUUGGAGGGAACUAUGGCCUUCUCAAUACCACCAACUUUGCUCCCAAUCCUGACUACUACAGUGCAGUUUUGUGGCAUCGGUUAAUGGGAAAGAAGGUUCUUGCGGUCUCAAGUGAUGUUCAUAUUAAAGACUUUUACCUAUAAUUAAGAAAUGUAAGUAGAAGUUAAUGACUUUUACUUACAGUUGAAGAUGAUAGGUACAUAUUAAAGACUUUUACCUCCAGUUAGGAAAUGUAAGUAGAAGUUAAUGACUUUUACCUACACACUAUAUAUAGUAGGUAAAAACUAUAGUGACAGACAAUUAGCCGUCAUUAUACGUCCCCUCAAAGUUGACAGAAGAAACGUCUGUAGGACAAAGUCUAUAAUACAUUUACCUACAAAUUUUUUAUUUACG